UACGUAGGGGGCAAGCGUUGUCCGGAUUUAUUGGGCGUAAAGAGCUCGUAGGCGGUUCGGUAAGUCGAAUGUGAAAUCUCCACGCUCAACGUGGAGGGGUCAUUCGAAACUGCCGUGACUUGAGUACGGUAGGGGAGUGUGGAAUUCCCGGUGUAGCGGUGAAAUGCGCAGAGAUCGGGAGGAACACCCGUAGCGAAGGCGGCACUCUGGGCCGAUACUGACGCUGAGGAGCGAAAGCGUGGGGAGCAAACAGG
rnacentral:rRNA from 1 species